UACGAAGGGGGCUAGCGUUGCUCGGAAUUACUGGGCGUAAAGCGUACGUAGGCGGCUUUGUAAGUUAGAGGUGAAAGCCCAGAGCUCAACUCUGGAAUUGCCUUUAAGACUGCAUCGCUUGAAUCGUGGAGAGGUUAGUGGAAUUCCGAGUGUAGAGGUGAAAUUCGUAGAUAUUCGGAAGAACACCAGUGGCGAAGGCGACUAACUGGACACGUAUUGACGCUGAGGUACGAAAGCGUGGGGAGCAAACAGG
rnacentral:rRNA from 1 species